rnacentral:rRNA from 1 species
AGGAUGCGAGCGUUAUCCGGAUUUAUUGGGUUUAAAGGGAGCGCAGACGGCAGUGCAAGUCUGCAGUGAAAACCCGGGGCCCAACCCCGGGACUGCUUUGGAAACUGUGCAGCUGGAGUGUCGGAGAGGCAAGCGGAAUUCCUAGUGUAGCGGUGAAAGGCGUAGAUAUUAGGAGGAACACCAGUGGCGAAGGCGGCUUGCUGGACGAUGACUGACGUUGAGGCUCGAAAGCGUGGGGAGCAAA